rnacentral:rRNA from 1 species
UACAGAGGGGGCAAGCGUUGUUCGGAAUUACUGGGCGUAAAGGGCGCGUAGCGGCCGCCUAAGUCAGACGUGAAAUCCCUCGGCUUAACCGAGGAACUGCCCUCCAAACUGUUUGGCUUGAGACCGGGAGAGGUGAGUGGAAUUCCCAGUGUAGCGGUGAAAUGCGUAGAUAUUGGGAGGAACACCAGUGGCGAAGGCGGCUCACUGGACCGGUACUGACGCUGAGGCGCGAAAGCCAGGGGAGCAAAGCGGG